CCUCUAACCGAUGAUGAAGUGAUCGCUUAUCUUCUCGCUGGUUUUGGCCCUGAUUACGACUCCUUUGUCACCUCCAUGACGACAAAGAGUGAACCACUCACACUUGAUGAUGUCUUUGCGCAUCUCAUGGCAUAUGAAU